rnacentral:rRNA from 1 species
GACAGAGGUCUCGAGCGUUAGGCGGAAUCACUGGGCUUAAAGCGUGUGUAGGCGGAUCGUUAAGUGCCUUGUGAAAUCCCACGGCUUAACCGUGGAACUGCUUGGCAUACUGGCGGUCUUGAGCAACCUAGGGGCAAGUGGAACAAAUGGUGGAGCGGUGAAAUGCGUAGAGAUCUCCAAGAACACCCGUUGCGAAGGCGGCCGACUGGACACAUAUUGACGCUGAGGCUCGAAAGCAUGGGGAGCAAACAGG